GGACUAUUUGCCUCCCCAUUUUACAGACGGAGAAAUCAAGGCACAGAGAUGCUAAGAACCUUGCCCAUGUGAGCAUCAGAGCGGGGUUUGAACCUGGCAGACCGAUGUCAGAGCGUACGCACAUGCCUCUAAGCACCACAAGAAACUGAGCCACGUCUGGCUAUUUGUCUUUGUCAUCCCCCUGCCCAGCCCAGGACCUGGCUCAGAGCAGGGGCUUGGGAAAUAUUUGAUGGUUGCAGCACUCACAGAUCUCAAGCCUCCCAUAGAUGCUCACCUCGCUGUGCUGGAAGCCCCCGUAGGAUGAGGAAGCCGAGGCCUAGGAGUUGGAAUGACUUGCCCGAAGAGCACAGCAGAGGCUUGCAAAGGCAUCUCUGGGCCUUCCUCCUCAUCCUGCAUGCAGGCCUGGGCCCCUGUGUCCCCGUGAAGAGCUUGAUAAUCAGCCCCGUGCAGCCCAGUAACCAAGAGGCCUGAACUCUUCGGGGAUCCCAGCAGAGGAAGGGGUGCCCUCAGGCAGCUCCGCCAGACUGCCCUGCCCAGCCAGCAGCAGGCCGUCCAAGGAGAACUGGGAGAGAAGUUGGGAGAAGGCCAGCUGCUAACUGUGGAAAAUAAAUCGGGGACCUCUAACCACACAGCUGAAGAAGGGCCAGCGGCACGUAGACGUGUUUCCUUUUGUGCUCUUGCUCACCAACUGUAAUUGUUAAUUGAAAGCCACGAGUUAUAUAAGUUAUGCGGAUACCAAAGAAGGAAUCGACUCAGUGCUUGAAAAGAACCCAGCUGCUGAGUGGUUUUCAGGAUGAAGAAGGGUUUCUGAAAAGCAGGUGGCUGAGGAGGGCAGCCGCCCCAAAGAGGGCAACCAGGACAAACUGUCUCCCAGCGACAGCUCUCUGGAUCUGCAGACAUGUCGUUCCUGGGGUUUUAGAGUACAAGGAAGUGAUCAAGCUGCUGAUUGUUCACAAAAUCACAUAGAAAGUCC
rnacentral:lncRNA from 1 species